UUAACUUAUAUUCGUAUGAAGUUAGAACGUUUCCCACGUUCGCCGCUAAGGCGCUGUUCCAACUGCAUACAAAUUGAGUUA
rfam:Bombyx mori DNA, contig: Bm_scaf43_contig24185, strain: p50T/Dazao, build 2, whole genome shotgun sequence.